AGUUGCACCAUGCUAUCUGGAUAGAAUCUUCCGUUGCUUGGAAGAUCACGCCUCUCAUCACAUCUCCCUCAUUCAACAUCAUUUUCCCUUAUGGCCCGAGCACAGAAGCCUAUCUCUUCGCCAAAGCUGCUGAAGAAGAUGGAUCAGCCCAGCUCAGCCAGGCCGAGAGAGGGAUUUUUGGGGCAUAUUGCCACGAUGCAGAAGCCUCUUGUCUGGAGCAAGCAACAGACCAGUAGACUCUCAAAAGCCAGCAGCGAUAUACAGCAGAUUGCUGCAUACACCGGCAUACAGUAUGCAGAGUUUAGGUGCACAAUCCCUCCGCA